UACGUAGGGUGCGAGCGUUGUCCGGAAUUACUGGGCGUAAAGAGCUCGUAGGCGGUUUGUCGCGUCGGCUGUGAAAACCUGGGGCUCAACCCCGGGCCUGCAGCCGAUACGGGCAAACUAGAAUUCGGUAGGGGAGACUGGAAUUCCUGGUGUAGCGGUGAAAUGCGCAGAUAUCAGGAGGAACACCGGUGGCGAAGGCGGGUCUCUGGGCCGAUAUUGACGCUGAGGAGCGAAAGCGUGGGGAGCGAACAGG
rnacentral:rRNA from 1 species